UACGUAGGGGGCAAGCGUUGUCCGGAUUUAUUGGGCGUAAAGAGCGUGUAGGCGGUUUGGUAGGUCCGUUGUGAAAACUCGAGGCUCAACCUCGAGACGCCGAUGGAAACCAUCAGACUAGAGUCCGGAAGAGGAGAGUGGAAUUCCUGGUGGUAGCGGUGAAAUGCGCAGAUAUCAGGAAGAACACCCGUGGCUAAGGCGGCUCUCUAGUACGGUACUGACGCUGAGACGCGAAAGCGUGGGAGCGAACAGGAUAGAA
rnacentral:rRNA from 1 species